AACAUGUCCUUUAGUUUUAAAUUUAAGGUUUGACCUGCCCAAUGAUGAAUAAUUUAAUGGCCGCAGUAUUUUAACUGUGCUAAGGUAGCAUAAUCAGUUGUCUUUUAAUUGAGGGCUGGAAUGAAGGGUCGGACGAGGAAUAGUCUUUCUUUUUAGUAAUUAAUAAAUUUGACUUUUUAGUUAAAAGGCUAAAAUUUUUUUGUGGGACGAGAAGACCCUAUAGAUCUUUAUAUUUAUAUAUAAUUUAAGUUUUUAGUACAUGAAUAAUUGAAUUUAUUAGGUAUUUUGUUGGGGUGAUACGAGAAUUUUUUUAACUUCUUGUUAUUUUAAUUCAUUUAUUUAUGUUUUUAUGAUCCAUUUUUAUGAUUAUAAGAUUAAGUUACCUUAGGGAUAACAGCGUAAUUUUUUCGGAGAGUUCAUAUCGAUGAAGAAGUUUGCGACCUCGAUGUUGGAUUAAAAAAAGUUUUGGGUGUAGUAGUUCAAUUACUAGGUCUGUUCGACCUUUAAUUUUUUACAUGAUCU
rnacentral:rRNA from 1 species